rnacentral:tRNA from 1 species
GCCGCUGUGGUGAAAUUGGCAGACACGCCGGACUUAGGAUCCUGUACCGAAAGGUGUAUCGGUUCGACUCCGAUCAGCGGCACCA